UGCCAGCAGCCGCGGUAAUACGGGGGGAGCAAGCGUUGUUCGGAAUUAUUGGGCGUAAAGCGUAUGUAGGCGGUCAGAUAAGUCAGACGUGUAAGCCCUCGGCUCAACCGAGGAAUUGCGUUUGAAACUAUCCGACUUGAGUGUAGAAGAGGAAAGCGGAAUUCCCAGUGUAGCGGUGAAAUGCGUUGAUAUUGGGAAGAACAUCUGUGGCGAAGGCGGCUUUCUGGUCUAUUACUGACGCUGAGAUACGAAAGCCAGGGUAGCGAACGGGAUUAGAUA
rnacentral:rRNA from 1 species